rnacentral:rRNA from 1 species
GACAGAGGGUGUAAACGUUGUUCGGAAUUACUGGGCGUAAAGCGCAUGUAGGCGGCUCGGAAAGUCGGAUGUGAAAGCCCAGGGCUCAACCCUGGAAGUGCACUCGAAACUCCCGAGCUGGAGUCCCGGAGAGGAAGGCGGAAUUCUCGGUGUAGAGGUGAAAUUCGUAGAUAUCGAGAGGAACACCUGUGGCGAAGGCGGCCUUCUGGACGGUGACUGACGCUGAGAUGCGAAAGCGUGGGGAGCAAACAGG